rnacentral:rRNA from 1 species
UGUGUGUUAGUGGAAGCGUCUGGAAAGGCGCGCGAUACAGGGUGACAGCCCCGUACACAAAAAUGCACAUGCUGUGAGCUCGAUGAGUAGGGCGGGACACGUGGUAUCCUGUCUGAAUAUGGGGGGACCAUCCUCCAAGGCUAAAUACUCCUGACUGACCGAUAGUGAACCAGUACCGUGAGGGAAAGGCGAAAAGAACCCCGGCGAGGGGAGUGAAAAAGAACCUGAAACCGUGUACGUACAAGCAGUGGGAGCACGCUUAGGCGUGUGACUGCGUACCUUUUGUAUAAUGGGUCAGCGACUUAUAUUCUGUAGCAAGGUUAACCGAAUAGGGGAGCCGAAGGGAAACCGAGUCUUAACUGGGCGUUAAGUUGCAGGGUAUAGACCCGAAACCCGGUGAUCUAGCCAUGGGCAGGUUGAAGGUUGGGUAACACUAACUGGAGGACCGAACCGACUAAUGUUGAAAAAUUAGCGGAUGACUUGUGGCUGGGGGUGAAAGGCCAAUCAAACCGGGAGAUAGCUGGUUCUCCCCGAAAGCU